GACAAGCGCACAAGAACUGGACGCCUCCUCCCAGGCUCCCAUGCCGCAAACAGUCGACGAGGAAAUGCUCAAGAAAAGGAAGCGUCCCAUUGGGCGGUGGAAGCACAGAUGAGCAGCAGCCUCAGUUGCAUCUACACUACAAGCAGACGAUCCUUUCCUGACAUCUAGCGGCCACGCAGAAGCUGCAGUCUUCAGGUGCUGACCACGAUUUCUUUGAUCUGGAGAAGCUGAGCUUUAUUGCGCCAUUGCCGUUGCACAUGCGGUUGAGCGGGAAGAUUUGCCCAUAGGAAAAUAAUGCUGUCAUAUUUUUAGGCAUGCCUGCUUGCUGUAUUGUAAGACCUAUAUGUUAGCUAUAUUGCCAUACAAAACACUAAUUUGCAGAGCGGAGUUUAAAUAUGAGGACGAGGAUUGGUAAGAGACUAAAGAUAGUCGUGUUGGAUUUGCUUUAAGACGCCGCAAAAAGAACAGCCUGAAACUCUUAAUUUGUGUAAGGGACAAGUAUUUUAAAAAUACAUUGAAUAGAUUUAUCGUUGCCACACUAAAAUAAAGACUUGCUAUCUGUUGCAGGAGUCUCAUGGGAGUCUGCUCGGCAAAAAAACGCAGAUUACCGAUCUUAGAUAGAAGGAAACAUAGUGGGGGAAAAGGAAGCUUUUGUUUUCUUGUACUAUAGAAUUAGCAAUUCGUGCUUUUGUCCCGAUCUUAGUUUAUUCAGGAAACGAACAUUGAAUUUAACUGUGCAAUUUUUAGACCCAACCUGACGAUUCACAUCUUUUGUGGGUAGUUCGCCCGUUUCACAUUCGUGGUGUUUUCUUGUAGCCUUUUGUCUGCCUGUUGCCAGACUCUAAGGCCGUGUGUGCCACACUUCAUUUCACAGCUUUACAUAUUCAAGCAGUUCCUGCAUCAGCUUUUUAGUCCAGCCUUUAGAGAUUGCAGGAACAAGAAUGAACAAAGAACUUAAUGAUUGUGAAUUCAAUCAGAGAAAAAAAUUUCUUUUUAUGGCCAUUUUUCCUUUGGAAUGACAUGCAUGUCUCAUUACACUUAUUUUUCUAUUCUUUUUCAGGUAUCUUCCUAUAGAAUGCUUUGACCUCAGCAAAACAUAAUUUAUUUCAUCUAAGGUAAUUAUAUCAAGCAAUUGUUCUACCUGUUAAUGGGCUAACUGAUGAAAAUAUAUAUGGCUAGAGUGUUGGUCGGACAUCGGUGCUGGACCAACACAAAGGUGAUAAUCCUUUUUAAUAUAGAUUUGUGUAUGCGUGUUUUGGAUCCGGAUCCUGGAAUGAGA
rnacentral:lncRNA from 1 species